GGGGGUGUACCGGUUUCGACGGGGAUCGCCGGGGGUGUGAGAAGCGAGCCGCGUACCCUGAUCGCGUAAUAAGCAGGGAAUUAAAAUAACUGACAACAACGAAUUCGCUUUCGCUGCCUAAGGGCGGCGCGUCGGCCUGAAGGGCUCACGCCUUCAGCCACCGGCGUCAUUGAUGUGAGGAACUGGCCCGCCUAAGCUUUGCGGCGAGGCCGGAAUCAUGAAGCUACCGAGGUCCUGAGCCUGCCUGCGGGCGCCCGGCCGAGGGAAAUCCAAAACACAGGCUGCGCUCGGAGAAGCUUGCACAAUCGGAUCUUCGGACAGGAGUUCGACUCUCCUCACCUCCACCA
rnacentral:tmRNA from 1 species